GGGUUGUUCUUCCACCUUAGAGGUGAGGUUGCUCAGUUUCUGGGAAAUUGACAUGUUUUUUAUUGACUCUAAGAUAUUUUGUUUUUAAAACAUAUCUUAGUAUUGAAAUAAUUUGUCUUUACGAAGAAGGUUGUAUAAUCUCAAAAAAAAAAUUGAAAAAUUGUAUAUAUUACAGUUUGUGUUUUAUUUUCAGCAAAAAGA
rnacentral:lncRNA from 1 species